UUCACCUUCCGGACGAACAACCCCAUCGAGGGAGUCUAAAUCGCCGCCGUUAGUGCGUAACCCGCCGACCCCGAACCCCGGAAAAUCAGGGCAGAACGACCAACGACCGCCGAAUCAGCGCUCAAGUGGCACGAGUCAGGUGAAAGGGUGGUGUAAGAGACCACCGGGGUCGCGGUGACGCGGCUUGCAGGGUAAACCUCGCCCGGAGCAAGGCCAGACAGGGGAUGCCGACGCGGCCCGCCGAGUCCCCGGGUAGGCCGCUGGAGCGUCACGGCAACGUGACGCCGAGAGAGAUGACCGUCGAUGGGGCGAAAGCCCCGGGACAGAACCCGGCGUACAGGCCGGCCCAUUCG
rnacentral:RNase_P_RNA from 1 species